UUCUUCAAUGCUCGAUUCUUCUAGCUUUUCUCAAGCUAAUCAUACUUAUCAUUCAUAACAUCUGUAAAAAAAAAGAAAAUAGGGAAUGAGCAAACCACAGCUCAGUAAGUGAAGGCUCACACACCUUACUGGAUCAAACAUCGUUUCAUACAUGUCAUAUAGAUCAUUCAAAAUAUUCGUUAAAUCAUAAUGUCAAAACAUCUCAAUAUCAUCGUUCUGUCAAACAUUUUAUAAAUUCAUAAAUCAUUGUAAAAUAUGUUAUCAUUCAAAUAUCGUAAUCAAACCAAAUCAUGGAUCAAUCAUUAAAAAUCAUCGUAAAUCAUCAUUAUCAUAAAUCAUCAUUAUCAAUCAAAUCGUUAUCAUUCAAAUCGUUAGCUACGGUCACUGCUAUAACCCGUGACAUUGGCCGUAUCGACAAUUUCAUUCUCAUGAUCAUUGCUAACUAUUAUAACCCGUUAGCUAGGGCUUAUGCUAACUACUAUUACCCGUUAGCCAGGGUCGUAUGAUCAUGUCUUUGCUAACUACUAUUACCCGUUAGCCAGGGUCGUAGAACUAGUUCUGGUGUCGAUGAUCCCACUUCCCAGGGAUAUAAAAACGUAGCUAUCAUAAAAUUAUUCUUUAAACAUAAAUCAUUUUCUCAUUUUAUUCAUAAGCAUGAUCCAUCAUUUAUAUAAAGAAACACAAAAUAAUCAUAUGCUUGAUCCUAUUUUCAUAUAUCGAAAAUAAAGAAAUAAAACGUUCUUUC
rnacentral:lncRNA from 1 species